GGCGGACGGGUGAGUAACACGUAGGUAACCUACCCUUAAGCGGGGGACAACUCAGGGAAACUUGAGCUAAUACCCCAUAAGACCCCGGGCUGGGAGGCCUGAGGUAAAAGGAGCGAUUCACUUAAGGACGGACCUGCGGCCUAUCAGGUAGUUGGUGGGGUAACGGCCUACCAAGCCAAAGACGGGUAGCCGGGCUGAGAGGUCGAACGGCCACACUGGAACUGAGACACGGUCCAGACUCCUACGGGAGGCAGCAGUGGGGAAUCUUGCGCAAUGGGGGAAACCCUGACGCAGCGACGCCGCGUGGAGGAUGAAGGUCUUCGGGUUGUAAACUCCUUUUCUUGGGGUAAAUAAUGAUGGUACCCAAGGAAUAAGCCACGGCUAACUCUGUGCCAGCAGCCGCGGUAAGACAGAGGUGGCGAGCGUUGUUCGGAAUUACUGGGCUUAAAGGGCGAGUAGGCGGUGGAGCAAGUCUGAUGUG
rnacentral:rRNA from 1 species